rnacentral:rRNA from 1 species
GACGAACGCUGGCGGCGUGCUUAACACAUGCAAGUCGAACGGAAAGGCCCUGCUUUUGUGGGGUGCUCGAGUGGCGAACGGGUGAGUAACACGUGAGUAACCUGCCCUUGACUUUGGGAUAACUUCAGGAAACUGGGGCUAAUACCGGAUAGGAGCUCCUGCUGCAUGGUGGGGGUUGGAAAGUUUCGGCGGUUGGGGAUGGACUCGCGGCUUAUCAGCUUGUUGGUGGGGUAGUGGCUUACCAAGGCUUUGACGGGUAGCCGGCCUGAGAGGGUGACCGGCCACAUUGGGACUGAGAUACGGCCCAGACUCCUACGGGAGGCAGCAGUGGGGAAUAUUGCACAAUGGGCGGAAGCCUGAUGCAGCAACGCCGCGUGCGGGAUGACGGCCUUCGGGUUGUAAACCGCUUUCGCCUGUGGCGAAGCGUGAGUGACGGUAAUGGGUAAAGAAGCGCCGGCUAACUACGUG